AUUGAACGCUGGCGGCAUGCCUUACACAUGCAAGUCGAACGGUAACGGGCCUUCGGGUGCCGACGAGUGGCGAACGGGUGAGUAAUACAUCGGAACGUGCCCGAUCGUGGGGGAUAACGAGGCGAAAGCUUUGCUAAUACCGCAUACGAUCUACGGAUGAAAGCAGGGGACCGCAAGGCCUUGCGCGGACGGAGCGGCCGAUGGCAGAUUAGGUAGUUGGUGGGAUAAAAGCUUACCAAGCCGACGAUCUGGAGCGGGUCUGAGAGGAUGAUCAUCCACACUGGGAUGGAGACACGGCCCAGCCUCCUACGGGAGGCAGCAGUGGGGAAUUUUGGACAAUGGGCGCAAGCCUUAUCCAGCCAUGCCGCGUGCAGGAUGAAGGCCUUCGGGUUGUAAACUGCUUUUGUACGGAACGAAAAGCCUUCUUUUAAUACAGGAGGGUCAUGACGGUACCGUAAGAAUAAGCACCGGCUAACUACGUG
rnacentral:rRNA from 1 species